rnacentral:sRNA from 1 species
ACCUUCACUAAGACUUGACUCAUCUUGUUAAGAGAAUAUACGGCACUCUUCUAUAUCAUAGCCUUACGGGUUCCCUUUUCUAUUCCUUUCUCUUCCCAUUUCCUAACCUUCUAAUUUCUUGGAACUCGGAAUUGCUCAUCCGGCGUUCAGCACUACCAGAGCCAUAUAUUCAACCGCCAUUUCUUGUAACUAUUACAGAGUCCAGUUACUAGCAAUAUAUCCCAUUUAGCAGUCUUGGGCAUAGAAUUAGAGAAACUCAGCCACAAGCAGUACAUGAUAAUUAUCCCAUGCCCAGAAGAUGACAUAUUGACAGGCACAAAAUUAGCAGUUUCAUGGGAUUUUCGGUACUCAGCCUUUUUUUUGGUGUUGCUCUCACUUAGCUAGUCAAUAAUCACAUCAUCCUCCGACAUUGGUUGUUUUUGUUUCAGCCACUAGUCCCAAUGUAGUUGGAAAAUUGCAUCCUUGACCAACGACGUCAACAUAAAAAAAUCCAUUCCCACGCAGCUCUGAAGGGCAUAUCUGAAAUUUGAAGUCAAUUCUGGAGCAUCGCAUUGAGCCCAUUGUGCUGCCCCUCACCUCAGCCUCGCCCGUCCUAUUAUCCUCAAACACUUCUAGCACCACAUACCGUUUCAGCUGCAAACACGUGCACAUCAACAGAAGCAACCUUGCAAAAGACAGAAGAAAACAAGAAAAACAGGGCUAUCCCCGUUUAUCCCCAUAAAUACAACCCAACCUCUCUCUUCUCCUAAGGCCAACAAGGACCCUCUCCAUUGGAACAAUGACCACCUCCCAACCCCCCAAUCGUCAAUAAUAACGACAACAGCGACAAAUGGAGACAACACCUCGCACAUUCCCUCCCCAGCGCCGAUGCUCAGCCCUCCAGCCUCUUCCCACUCCAUUCCAGAUGAUGACGACGAUGCCCCCCUCUUCUGCCCCUCGUACAUCUCCCCAAUGGUCCAAAAACAGCUGCCGGAAAACUACACGAUCCGACCCCUACGGCGCUCAGACUACUUCUCCGGCUACCUCGACGUUCUCCGAGUCCUAACCGCUGUCGGCGACUUCACCGUCGAGCAGUGGAACGAGCGCUAUGACUGGAUGGCGAAGCGAGGCGAGGAGUAUUUCCUGCUGGUCAUCUGCGAUGGCUCUGGUAGGGUGGUGAGCACGGGGAGCCUGAUCGUCGAGCGCAAGUUCAUUCACUCCCUGGGCAUGGUGGGCCAUGUGGAGGAUAUCGCGGUAGAAAUGGGCCAGCAGGGGAAGAAGUUAGGGUUGAGGAUGAUUCAGGCGCUGGAUUUCGUGGCGCAGAAGGUCGGGUGCUAUAAGAGUAUCCUCGAUUGCUCAGAAGCCAAUGAAGGCUUUUAUUUGAAAUGCGGCUUCAAACGUGCCGGCCUCGAAAUGGCUCACUACUACAACUGAAACGAGUAAAUUUCCAUUGAUUCGUUAAUUUUUGCCCCCCUCAUCCUUCUUCUUUCCCUUUAAAACAUAUAAUAAAUAUACGGAACUCAAACGGAAUAAAAAGCCCCAUCUUUCCGGCCAAUCCCGUCCCAAUUAUCUUCCGAAGCAAGCAGAAAUACAAACGCCCAAUUCCAAUACACUUCUUCGCAAGAUCACUCUGCUUCACCCCUAAAAGCUCUACUACGGGACAAACACUAGUGAUCGAACCACAUAGUGGGAGGAUUAUUUAAAUAUAUUCCGCUAGGGUAUUUUGAAUAUCCAGCCGUCGUCUGCACGGGCGUGUAUAAUAAUGUAUACUCCCCACGCGGCCCCAGCAGGCAAGUGUUGGAUUACUACUGUGAAUGGGCCGCACGGAUCUUCUUUUCUUUUUUUUUCUCUUCUUUGCGGUCUAGAAAAGCGGUCGGAGUGAUUUGUUUCUUUUAUAUAUUAAUCGGGAGGGAAGAAAAUUUUUCAUUUUUCAGCCUUGAGUCUUCCUUUUAUUUUUGGACGAGCGGACCGGAAUGGGAUUUCGACAAUAUCAGGGAUAAUUAAUACAUACAUAGAUGGCGUGUUAAUGCCCUUUUUUUUUUUUUUUUUUUUCUUUUUUUUUCAACUUUCCUCCUUUUCCUGUUUCUCUCCAUCUAUUUGCGCUCUUUUUUUCUUCCAUUUCCAGUUUGUAUUAUUCUAACAGUGGCACAUUUCGGAUUGAUUUUCUCAGGUCUUGGCCGGCUGCCCACCACCAUCCCCCUGUUACAGAGGGUGCAGAGUUGCAAAAAUUAGUACUUGUACAAGUUGCUAGUAGCCUGACUGACUGCUUAGCCGCUCACUGCACACUCUGUUUAUUUUUGCACUGCGCUUAUGCACUGCACUCUCUACAAUAGGGAUCUGAGUGGAUGCUCCUCUGUUAAGAUGAUGUGGAAUUAAAGAUCCAUGUAUCCCUGGGAUUUUGAAGUGUUUUUGCCCACGUAGCUAGGGUUGCUAGAAGCAGGCUGUUUCUACUAAGUCAUGCGUAAUGCACUAUUUUAAUAAGACAGUGGGAUGUUUACGCAGAACCAUCUACUACUAACUAAAAGAUAACCAAUCUUCCUCAACCUAAACUGUAUUUAAUAAUGAUUGAUUGUGAAUUUAUGAUGUGAUAUCAUGUGGCAUUAGGUAAGAAUGUUAUAUUUUCAAUCAAGUCAUUAGUUAGACAUGAUUCAGUCUUCCGUAACCAGAUAAACGAUCCCUUCGCCGCCCUUCCAUAGCGAAACACUCAAAUCAUAGCACCCAAAACACAAUAAACCCACGCCAAAAUUGCUUUCACACAUUGACCCGCUCUAAUCUAAAGCAUGGCAAAUCGAUCGAGCUCUCCUACAAGAUUUUUGGAACCACAGAACGUUAGUUGAUCACAGAACAGCCGAAGAGAUGUUAAAGCUUAUGAUUUCUGUCCGCGGCGGCUAUGGUAGGUACAGGCCAACGAAUCAGGCAGUUUUCAUAGAGAUAUAAUACAGACCCAUCAUUGUUUUGGAGAGAUGUUGAAGCUGAAAAGGCAGAGGGACAGAGAUUGAAAAUAAAUGAUAUUGCGCGCCGACUUCGACUGCGGCAUCAGUAUCAACAAUUUUCCAAUCAAUUCAAUCGUCCACGUAUGAAGCCAACCGAAUCAGCUAUCAAAGCUUUUCAACAUAUUUCGGGAGAGCCUCUUACCCCAUCAGUCAAAUGGCAACUAAGAGCCAGAAAGAGGCUCUCGUCGCUAGAGCCUGAUGUGAUGUUGAGAAUUGAAAAGCCUCAUUGGGUGAAGUAGGACAACACCCAGCACAACAUCUGUUUGGUAUGUACGGAGUAUUUGAAUCGACAUUUGUUGUCUUUAGAUGGGAACGAGAGCUGUCUGAGAAGGACCUCAAUAUUGUGUGGAGGCAGGUCCAGAUCAACAGCUGAAGUUAGGAAUUGGUAUAAGAAAGGAAAGGAUAGCGAAUAUUAACGCAUAUAAGCCAUAAGAUUUAUUUAAGAGGCUAGACUGCGUACCGCGGUCGGCAUACGCCGUUGAAAACUAUCACCGAAUAUAUCACAUUACAAAGCUCGCGCGGAAAAUGCUAAUGACUAGCGGAAGUGGAAAGAAAAUCGAAAUUUGAAUUGUGAAGUACCCGACACAAGAGUAGAUAUAUGUUCAGAAAGCUUUUACACAAAUGUGCCGAGAGAUAUUGUAAUCAAGCUGACCAGUCCUUUCCCCAGACUUGCGGAGUCCCCUGAUUUCGUGUCCAUGAAUAUACACGAUAUCUCCCCCUUUCCAACUCGACCCUUCCACCACCUUGCAAUAAGAGUAAUGGCACAUCGCAAAUUGAUCGUGUUAAGACCUCCAUGUGUUCGUUCGUUCGUUGUCCAUAAUUUCAAUUUUCAUCUCGGGCCAGUUUAAGAGAUCAAGGGUUCCCAACACAUAAAACUCAAAGCAAUACAGGAAAGAAAACCAUAAAUAAAUGCGCUUAUGACGUAGGGUUGGGGUUCAUCUUUCGCUUUCCACCGGUCAUCGUGACGUUAACAAAUCGUCUGGUGUAUUGCAGGCGCUUCUUGGCGCGACCCUUCGGGGUCUUCUUCUUCUCUUGAGGCUCGACCUUAGGGGUCUGGGACUUGACUUUGCCCGCACGGGCGAGGGAUCCGUGAACUUUACCCAUAAUGUGCGGUAAGCGAUGGGGACGAGUUUUUUGACAGAGGUGUAAUUGACUGUGUGGGAGGCUGAGGAUGCCGAUGGUUUGAUGGAUGUGUUAGCGUUUGGUUUUUCUGCCUAGCUGGAUUAAGCGAGCGGUAGCGGCUGCGGAAGAAGAGAACAGUAUCAGGAUCCUUUGGGUCUCAUUUUGAGACGCCUGGGAGAUAGGGAAGGUGAAGGAGAGUAGAUGCUUACAGCCGUUUGGGAGUCGAUCCUCUUGUCGUUGUCGCGGUUUGCCUUUCAACUCUUCCAGCUCGUCUCUGUGACUGAAAUGGAGGACGUCAAAUUAGCGACUGCCAAGACUCGGCGAGUCGAAGUGUGUAGGGCUGUGCCCUAUUGCCUAUUUUGGAAGCCGCCCCCUCAUUGCUCCAAGACGAACCAGCAGGAUCUCAAGAGUGAUCAUGGCAUUGAAUUGAUCAUACCUCGCUUGAAGGCUUACAGAUUAUAGAAUUGUUGAGUCGCUAUAUUGCAUCAUCCUAAAAUAGCCAUGAAACGUGAAUGAAACGAAUAUAGAGUGAGUGGGAAAUCUGCUAACCGAGUUCUCUCUUUAUUUAAACUAGAUCACAGUACAUUGAAAGCGUAAAAAGAAAUAAGAAAGAAAAAUAGCAGGAAUCCAUUUGCAUUAGAACAUCGUACUUGCAAAACGUCCCAUAGCAGAAAACUAUCUUCGCCUAGAAGAGUUCUGAUAUGUAAGGAAUACAAAAUUCCCAGUUGUUAGAUGAUGGGGGACUCUAGCACAUUGAUAUUCGUAAUUGCACUGGUCCCUUCCAUUCCACAAAAAUCACCGGGCGCCACUACCGAAUCCCAAAUUUUAACGAGACUUAGCAGCAACCUUGGGUGGCGCACCCUUAGCACCCUGUUUGCUUUGGAUUCUGCUCGCCUGACCUCUGGCAGCGUUGGCAGCGUUCUUAGCCUUCUCAGCUCUCUUCUUGCUUUCGGCAGCGGACUUCUUUUCCUUUCCUUCCUUGAUGGCUUGUUGGCGAGCAGCGAGGCGGGCCUCAGGGCGCAUGCUUCGUCGUUCUUUGAUGACGUCUAGAGAGGCGCCGACAACAGCACGCUGGGACUUGACUGUGCGUCGGGUACGCUUCUUUGCAACUUCUUCAGAGAUGCCUUUCCUGUGUUGUCUUCUAUAAAGGGUCGUCCAUAAGAUUCGGCGAGGGUUUUUGCGUUGGAGAAAGAGGGAUUCGGUCUUGCCAUUCUGGAAGCGGAAGACUUUGCCGUCGCCGCGGACGUAGAGUUUUCCCUUUCCGGGGUAAAUCUUCUCGCCACUGAAAGUGUCGUCGUAGGUACGCAUCUUGAAUGGGUGGAGAUGCGCAGCCGGUGAGUGGAUGGGGUUAGAUUGUUGA